CGAUCCGAGUUCAUAUCUCGGUGGGACCUCCA
rnacentral:sRNA from 1 species